rnacentral:tRNA from 1 species
GCCCUUAUAGUUCAAUGGAUAGAACAGUUCCGUCCUAAGGAAUAGAUCUCCGUUCGAUUCGGAGUAAGGGCA